AACGUAGGAGACAAACGUUAUCCGGAGUUACUGGGCGUAAAGGGCGUGUAGGUGGUUUCGUAAGUCUGGCGUGAAAUUUUUCGGCUUAACCGGGAAAGGUCGUCGGAUACUGCGGAACUAGAGGACGGUAGAGGCGUGUGGAAUUCCGGGUGUAGUGGUGAAAUGCGUAGAGAUCCGGAGGAACACCAGUGGCGAAGGCGGGUCUCUGGGCCGUUACUGACGCUGAGGAGCGAAAGCGUGGGGAGCGAACAGG
rnacentral:rRNA from 1 species